UACGGAGGGGGCUAGCGUUGUUCGGAAUUACUGGGCGUAAAGCGCGCGUAGGCGGACCUGCAAGUCGGGGGUGAAAUCCCUGGGCUUAACCUGGGAACUGCAGUCGAUACUGGUGGACUAGAAUGCGGUAGAGGGUGGCGGAACUCCGGGUGUAGCGGUGAAAUGCGUAGAUAUCCGGAAGAACACCGAUGGCGAAGGCAACCACCUGGGCCUGCAUUGACGCUGAGGUACGAAAGCGUGGGGAGCAAACAGG
rnacentral:rRNA from 1 species